AUUGUUGCGUUUGGUGGUUUGUG
rnacentral:miRNA from 1 species